rnacentral:lncRNA from 1 species
UUUUCCUUGUUCCUGGUCAACAAAGAAAUGUGGAGUGUCUUGGCUGAAUCCUCAUACAGACAAGAUCAUUAUGGUGCUGUUAGGUAGGACUUGUAUCCAGAUGUAAGGUCUCACUCUGUCACCGAGGCUGGAGUACAGUGGUGCAAUCACAGCUCACGGCAGCUUCAAACUCCUGGGCUCAAGCGAUCCUCCUGCCUCACCCUCCCGAGUAGCUGAGACUACAGGCUAACUAGCUCUGCUGCAUGUUCAUGGGACGUGGACCAAACCAAGGAACUCAAGGUGUCUGAGAGCGGGAGCAGAGCAAUAGGCCCAGAGGGAAGAAAUCUCUGCCAGGCUACGUUGUUUUCUGUGGCCUCUGAUAAAUGCAGAGUAGCCACAACAGCAGACUGGUCAUAGUUCCAGCUCACAUUCUGGAUUCCAACAGCCUGCCGUACUCCGGAGUUGUGACCAUCUGCACCUAUCAACAAUUUGGUCUGGAAGGUGCUGCCAUCACCUAGGGUAAUAUGAACCCAAGGGCUGGAGUCGGCCAUAGGAAAUGGACAAGGCCAGGUAUAGCGAAUGGCUUUGCUCCUGUAGAGAACCGUCACUCGGUCUGGGGAGGUCAAAAGAGAGGAAAAAAAAUUAGAAAGGUGGGCCACAUAGGCUGAGGAAAAAGCCAUAACUAAACCUAAAGCAAGGUCCCAGGACAGCAGUGUCUUGUCAUUUAAGAUUAAAAAAAUCAGUAAUU